CGGAAUCUCCAGACUGAAAGGAAAUCUGAACAGUGCGGCCUCAACUCUAAAAGACUCGCUCUGUCCCCCGCCAGCUGCUUUUCACUGCGGCCCGGAUGUUUCUGUCGCCAUUUUAGCAUUCCUUUAAAAAGAAAUGUGCCGGGGUGGGGUGGGGGGGCAGCCUUCCCUGGAGGCGUCUGGAUAGAAAGAGAUUCUGACUGACGGGGGAAACUGUGGAGUGGGGCGACGAAACUUCCCAUAAAAAGUUAAAGACGAUGCAACGGCGCCCCCUCUGGCCAUAUGUUGUUUAUGACGAGAUCGGUGCUCUGGUGAUCGACCACCCUGGACUGGAUCAAUAGUCGCCACAAAGAGCGGCGCAGUGGAGCGGUCAAUCACAACUCGCCUCGUCGCCCAGCAUUCAGAAAGAGACACGGUCUCUCUUUGUGUGGAAGUGAUGCUGUUGCUCGCUGUUAACAGUGAGCAGCAGCUUUAUUCCUCAAAAGGCGGCUCGUGUUUCCACAGUCAUCCAUUUUAGCCUGUCCGCUCCUCCAUUGCUGACAAGAUGCAGCUUCGUCAAGGAGGCAGAUGAUGCCUUUCAGCUUCUCCUCCCUCCCCCCCUUCUUGAAUUAAUCCCACCGCACAAACGGGCUAAUUUCAUUCAUCCGUGCUACUCACCCCGUGUCCGGGCCAUCUAUGGUCCACCCGGUAAUCCCUCCGUCCCCAGUGAGAGACUCGUGGAAAGGAGACACGACUCCACGCCUUGUAGGCGGGACACGAUCUAAAUGUCACCGUCUGCAAUUGAGGCAGACCCUUGUUCUUUUCAGCAUGUGCGUGCGCUCACAGACAUCUUCCUCUCGUACGGAGUCAUGCACUUCUCUACUGAUCACCCCGUCCGUCGCAAUUAAAGGGGCAUUUAAAGCGGGA